rnacentral:rRNA from 1 species
GAUGAACGCUGGCGGCGUGCCUAAUACAUGCAAGUCGAGCGAACGGACGAGAAGCUUGCUUCUCUGAUGUUAGCGGCGGACGGGUGAGUAAUACGUGGAUAACCUACCUAUAAGACUGGGAUAACUUCGGGAAACCGGAGCUAAUACCGGAUGAUAUUUUGAACCGCAUGGUUCAAAAGAGAAAGACGGUUUUGCUGACCCUUAUAGAUGGAACCGCGCUGCAUUAGCUAGUUGGUAAGGUAACGGCUUACCAAGGCAACGAUGCAUAGCCGACCUGAGAGGGUGAUCGGCCACACUGGAACUGAGACACGGUCCAGACUCCUACGGGAGGCAGCAGUAGGGAAUCUUCCGCAAUGGGCGAAAGCCUGACGGAGCAACGCCGCGUGAGUGAUGAAGGUCUUCGGAUCGUAAAACUCUGUUAUUAGGGAAGAACAUAUGUGUAAGUAACUGUGCACGUCUUGACGGUACCUAAUCAGAAAGCCACGGCUAACUACGUG